UGUGAAAUGAGGGAGUUUGAC
rnacentral:piRNA from 1 species